rnacentral:rRNA from 1 species
UACAGAGGUCUCAAGCGUUGUUCGGAUUCAUUGGGCGUAAAGGGUGCGUAGGCGGCUCAGUAAGUCGGGUGUGAAACCUCCAGGCUCAACCUGGAGACGCCACUCGAUACUGCUGUGGCUAGAGUCCGGUAGGGGGAGCAUGGAAUUCCUGGUGUAGCGGUGGAAUGCGUAGAGAUCCGGAAGAACACCGGAGGCGAAGGCGGCUUGCUGGGCGUGAUCUGACGCUGAGGCGCGAAAGCGUGGGGAGCGAACAGG